AUACAACUGUCAUGGUCUAAAUCACUCAGACAUUCAUCUGGUCAGGGCUCGCUGGUCUUAUUAACAGCCAUAUCUAACGCUCUCCUCUAUAAUUCCCUUUGAGAUCUGAACAAAAGGAUAGGAAGUGCUUUACUCUGACAAGUCAGACUUCACUUCACAGGAGGAAUUACAGCUUUUCAUUUUCUGUCACUGGAGCGUUUUAGUGAGGUGCCCCACUACCAUAACGAUGUUCUUUCUCUCUUGUUUUAUGACUUGAGCCACGCACAAAGAGUUGAUUCACAGUAAUCACUUAUGAAAACACAAAUGCCCGUGUGUGUAUGUAAGCGACAACCGCAAAAGUACACACACUAUAUAUUCAAAUACUGAGAGAAAUAUAGUCAGCGCCAUUUGUGCCAGACACAAAAAAUUACACCCUCAAGUCGAACAAAAACACACAAAUUCCCAGAAGGGAAACAAAAUUCAAAUGUGUGGUCAGUCGAGUUAGCCCCGGUGUCCAUUAUUGCUUCUGUCGGAAUCCAUUAGGAUAAACACAGUUUACAUUCUCUGGACAACCGCAGUAGCAUGUUGUCCUCUCACAUGUGGCAGCCAUAUUACUUCUGUCCUUCCCAAGCCAUCAGAUAGUGGCACAUGCCAUCUAGGAAACAAAACCUCAAGUAAUGCUAAAGGCUGUAAAAUUUUGGACUCCAUUAAUCAUCUCUUUUCCUCUCUCACUUGAAAAAAAAAACAAAAAAAAAAACCCAGAAAAACUCACCGUAUUUUAUUUUGGCUCUGAAAAUAAAUCAAUAUCUAGAGAAUGUCCGUGUUCAAAGAUGAGAGAGCGACUAUCAAGCACCCAGCUCUCUCGACCAAAGUGCAUGUUUAUCCAGCUUGUGGGAAUUCCUGUUCCUCAGGAUGGAUCUGGAGUAGUCAUGAUUGGCGAUGUUCCCGUCCCACCCUGGCUGGCCCUUUCAUGAAAACCGUAUCCAACACAGAAGACUGCUCACUUUUCCUCAGCUCACAGAUAUUACACUUUUAAACUGGCAGCAGGAGAUAUUGCUACUGAGUUUACACUACAAAAGAAAAUGGAUAUGAUCCCUGACAAACACAUUCACAUCUGGACAUGCGGUUAUUCAGAGUGAACAUAUGUGACACAUCAAACUGUCGUAGCUUUGCAUGCAAGUGAACCAGCAAGACUUAGAGUCAGCAAAAGUCUCUGCUGCUUUUGCCUUUUACUUUCUUCUACAGAUCUAUAAUUCCACAUCCUCAAGUAAUUCUUUACCUUCACCCCUUCAAAAAUCCUCUUUCAGUAAAGCUCAUCAAAAUUGCACUCUAUUUCCACACUACAGCAAGUCUACACUGUGACCUUCACAAAGCAAUAACUGCCAGCAUGAUAGAUACACUGUAUACACAAAGCAUUUACAUAU
ensembl:lncRNA